rnacentral:rRNA from 1 species
AACGAACGCUGGCGGCAUGCCUAACACAUGCAAGUCGAACGAGACCUUCGGGUCUAGUGGCGCACGGGUGCGUAACGCGUGGGAACCUGCCCUUAGGUUCGGAAUAACUCCCCGAAAGGGGUGCUAAUACCGGAUAAUGUCUUCGGACCAAAGAUUUAUCGCCUUUGGAUGGGCCCGCGUUGGAUUAGCUAGUUGGUAGGGUAAAAGCCUACCAAGGCGACGAUCCAUAGCUGGUCUGAGAGGAUGAUCAGCCACACUGGGACUGAGACACGGCCCAGACCCCCACGGGAGGAGGCGGGGGGGAAUAUUGGACAAGGGGCGAAAGCCUGACCCAGCAAUGCCGGGGGAGUGAUGAAGGCUUUGGGGUUGAAAAGCUCUUUUACCCGGGAUGAUAAUGACAGUACCGGGAGAAAAAGCCCCGGCUAACUCCGU